UUUGCUAGAAAGACAGAUUCUGACACAGUGUUUACAAGACAACAUUACUAUAUCUGUGGAUGGAAACUGAUCAUUCCCUAGUACUAGAAACGUCGGAUUUGAGACCAAGUCUACAGUGAUUUCUGACUAUGGAGUAAUUCAUCUAUAAUUUACGUUUAGAGAUAAGACAUCAAAACG